AGGGUCCGAAUGGGUAGAUCCAUUCGGCCCAAUUUGGGUUUUUCAGGGGCCCAAUUGCCCCAAGAUUAAGCUAAUGGGAUCACCUCCCAUUUCCAACUUAAUCAUUGUGCUAACUACGAUAAAUCCAUUGUGCUAACUACGAUAAAUCCUAAGACAAUUUCUGCAGCUUGCUCCGGUGCGUCAAUCGCUUCUUCCGGCGAGUUUCCGGCGAACUUCCGUCGAUCAUCCGAUGAACCCUCGGUGUUGCUCCUGCGGACUUCCGGCAAACUCCUGGACUUGCGACGAUCCACUUGG
rnacentral:lncRNA from 1 species